UCUGCAAAUUGGCAAUAAAAAAUAAUCAAUAAACAAUAACACGUAAAAGUUUCAUAUAAGAAAACAUCUAACACUUUAUUAUCGCCUUAAAAUUAUUAAAUUAAAUAUACGUUAAUGUUAAAAUUGUUUAUAACUUAUGCUGCAAAAAAGAACACUAAUGAGAUAAUUUAAUAUUUUAUAUUUAUGUUUCUUUAGUUAAUAUUAAGGGAACAUUCUACUUUCGCCUAAAAUUUACGUAAUUUUUUUAGGAACUGUAACUUGAAGAAAAAAAACAUUAGUAAAAAUUUUUUUUACAUAAAUUUGACACCUUAGACUUAGACUACUAAGGCUUACAGUACACAAAUGGACAGAAAUGGCUGACCAUGUAAAGUUAGCCGCAUUUGGGGACAUAUUGGCGCUACUUAACACUUUCUAAGUAUUCAUGCAUCAUGACUGUUGAUUAAUCAAAGAUCAGCAAUGCUGUCUCUUGGCACACAUCGGAAUAUCGCGAGUGAUGGCACCGAAGCGUAUAGAUAUUUUUGGGCAUAUGAAAAAAAUACAACAAUAACAACUUGACAAUUGUCCGACAUAUCAAACGUAUAGUUAACCGAAAUUUAAUAUAACAAAUAUUCUAAGAACUUAUUAUGUACUGUUUAUACACAAAUAAUUAAUAAAGAUGUAAAAACUAGAUGUAAUAACAGAACAAAGAAAAGUUUUAUUAAGUAAAAAAGAUAAUAAUUUAUUAUAAUCUAAAAAUAAUGACGUUACAGAUAAUAUUUAUAAUCUUUUUUACUUAAUAAACUGAGAAAGUACUGUGCACUGAAAAAGUAAAUGUCCUCUUAAUGUAAAUCUAUCAAUAAAGUCAUUAACAAUUA